UACGUAGGGGGCAAGCGUUGUCCGGAUUUACUGGGCGUAAAGAGCGUGUAGGCGGCCAAACAGGUCCGUUGUGAAAACUAGAGGCUUAACCUCUAGACGUCGAUGGAAACCGUUUGGCUAGAGUCCGGAAGAGGAGAAUGGAAUUCCUGGUGUAGCGGUGAAAUGCGCAGAUAUCAGGAAGAACACCCGUGGCUAAGGCGGUUCUCUAGUACGGUACUGACGCUGAGACGCGAAAGCGUGGGGAGCGAACAGG
rnacentral:rRNA from 1 species